rnacentral:sRNA from 1 species
CCGGAGCUCGCAGCUGAGAUGUACCAAAGGGGCCGGGCCCUCCUUCGGGAGGCUGGCUUCCACCAGUAUGAGGUCUCCAACUUUGCCCGGAAUGUAAGUUCUGGGGCUGAUGGCUGGAGGUGGAGGAUGGGCAGACUGCAGUGUGACCGGGGCAUUGUGACCUUCUGAAGAGAAGGAUCCUGGCUGAGAUGGUGGGACAUUCUAACCUGGGGCCCCUUACCUGAGUCAAAAACGAGGCCCGCCUUCUUCACUCUGCACUAUUUCCUCCCUCCCCGCAGGGGGCGCUCAGUACCCACAAUUGGACUUACUGGCAGUGUGGUCAGUACCUUGGCAUUGGGCCUGGGGCCCAUGGGCGAUUUAUGCCCCAGGGGGCUGGAGGCCACACCCGGGAGGCUCGGAUCCAGACACUGGAGCCUGACAACUGGAUGAAGGAGGUGAUGCUGUUUGGCCAUGGCACCCGGAAGCGUGUCCCCCUGGGCAGGCUGGAGCUGUGAGCAUCCAAGGACACAGGGCUCUCCCCCAGGGUUCCCACACCCCA